CGCCUUGCCAGCCCGACUCAGAAACUCAAAUGAAUUGACGGGGGCCCGCACAAGCGGAGGAGCAUGUGGUUUAAUUCGAUGAUACGCGAGGAACCUUACCUGGGCUUAAAUGCUUAAUGACGUACUGGGAAACUGGUAUUUCUUCGGACAUUUUGCAAGGUGCUGCAUGGUUGUCGUCAGCUCGUGCCGUGAGGUGUCGGGUUAAGUCCCAUAACGAGCGCAACCCCUAUUGUUAGUUGCCAUCAGGUCAUGCUGGGGACUCUAACAAAACUGCCCGCGUAAGCGUGGAGGAAGGUGGGGAUGACGUCAAAUCAGCACGGCCCUUACGUCCAGGGCUACACACGUGCUACAAUGGCCGGUACAGAGGGCAGCCACUUGGUGACAAGGAGCAAAUCUCAAAAGCCGGUCUCAGUUCGGAUCGGAGUCUGCAACUCGACUCCGUGAAGUUGGAUUCGCUAGUAAUCGUAGAUCAGCAAUGCUACGGUGAAUACGUUCCCGGGCCUU
rnacentral:rRNA from 1 species